rnacentral:sRNA from 1 species
AUGGAAACUUACGCCUUCACAAGUUUGCCUCUAAUUGUGCGGAAGUUAUGUCUGCAUUUCAUGCCAGUGAUUUGGCUUCAAAUCUUAAAAGAUCUAGACUUAGAAUGCGACAGUAAACCCUUACAACGUAGCCUUGGACUCAGCUGGGAUGUAAACACUGACAAUUUCUUAUUUCAAUUAUCAUCUGAAAACAAACCAAUAACUCGGAGAGGAAUUUUAUCGACGAUAAACAGUCUCUACGAUCCUCUUGGAUUUUUGGCUCCUGUGAUUAUAAAAGGGAAACUACUAUUAAGGAAAAUAGUAUCAGAAACCGUCGAUUGGGACCAACCUCUCUCUGAUGACACAGCAGCUGAGUGGAAAUCUUGGAGAGAUACUUUAAAUUGCUAUCGAAACAUUGCGCAUUCCACGUACUUACGUGCCGUAUCUCAGCAAAACAGCCACAAAGGAGUUGCAUGUCUUCUCUGAUGCAUCAGAAAAAGCCAUAGCAGCUGUUGCAUAUCUACGCACGACCGACAGUAGUGGUGAACCUAACAUAGGGUUCAUUCUUGGGAAAGCUAAAGUUGCACCAACGAGUGGUCACACUAUUCCACGACUUGAAUUAUCUGCUGCUGUAUUAGCAGUUGAGAUUACACACAAACCAUUGUGGAUAAUUUAGAUUUACAUAUAGACACCGUGAAAUUCUACACAGACAGUAAAGUUGUCUUAGGUUACAUCAGUAAUGAGACAAGAAGGUUCUUUAUCUAUGUCGCCAAUAGAGUAGAGAAAAUAAGGAAAUUUAGCUCUCCAAGUCAAUGGAAUUACGUACCAACUAACCGUAAUCCCGCAGAUUCGGGAACAAGGUCCGUACCAGCCCACGAAAUUCAUAGCAGUGAAUGGUUAUUGGGACCAAGACAACUUCUUUCCUCAGAACAGAAGAAUUCUGAGGACAUAUAUCAGCUAAUAGAUCCAGAGGAAGAUGGAGAAAUUCGUGCAACUGUUAAUGUUGCAAAAACAUUUGCCACACUUGAACAUAAAGGUAUCGGAACUGAAAGAUUCAACAGAUUCUCAAACUGGACAUCACUUGUGCGAGCGAUAGCCUUUUUAGAACGUUUCUCCCGUUUACACGGGUCAAAACAGGCAGCACCAGUGACCUCUCUGGAAGGCUUUUCGAAUGCCGAAAAUUUCAUCUUAAUAUCUGCUCAAUAUGAAGUUUACGGCGAUGAAAUAGAUUGCAUUAAACGUCGGGAACAAAUUCAUAAGCGGAGCCCGAUAGCUAACCUCAAUCCGUUUGUGGACGAACGAGGACUAUUACGAGUAGGAGGCCGUAUUGCCAAAUCUGACUUAAACCUCCGUGAAAAGAAACCAUUGAUCGUCCCUGGACGCCAUCAUAUAGCGACAUUAUUAGUUCGACACUACCACGACACGAUAAAACAUCAAGGUCGCCAUUUCACAGAUGGAGCGAUUCGUUCCGCAGGAUUCUGGAUCGUCGGAGCUAAACGCUUGAUCUCUUCUAUCAUUCACAAAUGUGUGACAUGCCGCAAACUAAGAGGAAAAACUGAGUGUCAAAUCAUGUCUGAUUUGCCAGAGGACCGUCUUGAACCGUCACCUCCGUUUACCAACGUUGGAAUAGACACAUUUGGACCCUGGACAAUUGUUUCACGUAAAACACGCGGGUGGAUACGCAAACUCAAAACGUUGGGCAAUUCUUUUCACAUGCUUAGUGACUAGAGCUGUUCACAUCGAACUAAUCGAGGAAAUGAGCUCUUCAGCCUUCAUAAACGCCGUCAGAAGAUUCGCCGCUAUAAGAGGUCAAGUUAAAAUUUUCCGAUCCGACCGUGGAACAAACUUUAUUGGCGCAAUCGACGAUUUAAAGAUUGACUCAAUCAACGUUGAAGAUGGACCCUUCAAGAACUUUCUGUACAAUUCUGGUACAACUUGGAUCUUCAAUCCGCCGCAUUCGUCCCACAUGGGUGGAGCCUGGGAGAGAAUGAUUGGUAUCACCAGGAGAAUUCUUGAUUCUAUGCUUCUAAAUGCAGCCGGAAGAAGCCUUACGCAUGACGUGCUCAACACACUAAUGGCAGAAGUUUCAGCAAUAGUGAACUCUAGACCUCUGGUACCGGUUUCAACAGAUCCAGAGAAUCCGUUAAUAUUAACUCCAGCUAUGUUAUUGACACAGAAAACCGACUACAUAUUCACCUCAGAUCAUCUUGGAGAAUUCGAUAAACGAGAUCUAUGUCUUGCCGAAUGGAGACGAGUACAGGCUCUUGCCAGUGUUUUCUGGUCCCGUUGGAGGAAAGAGUACCUGCCGUUACUACAACAAAGACGAAAAUGGACCGAAGAUCGCCGUGAUCUCAUCGAAGGAGACGUCAUUCUUCUAAAGGACAAAAACCUUUGCCGUACCCAAUGGCCCGUUGGAAUUAUAGUGAACUCAUUUAAAAGUUCAGACGAACAUGUCCGAAAAGCAGAAGUGCGAGUAAUCGUUAAUGGAAAAGCCACAACCUACACACGCCCUAUCGUGGACAUGAUUCUUCUCAUCGAGAAUGACUGUGUAUAAUUAAUAUUAUAGUGAUACUUUGGAUUUAUAUAAUCAGAUAUUUUAGUGUGUGACAUAUUUGAAAUAGUGAUAUCAGUUAGACAUCAGACGGGGAGUAUUCUGUUCCACAUUCUAUGUUUAUUUUUUGUUUUCAUUUUAUCCGGAACAAAUUGAACUGGACCGAUUUCUUAAAUCACCGUAUUUAUCGACCACUUUUAAUUUCUGUGACACCGUCCGCAUCAAUAUUUCAACACAUGGAAAAUGGACGACAUUUCUACUUUCUGAGGAAAUCGUGACAUACCACUGUCAAGUACGUUUGAUUCAUUCAUAAACUGUGAUAAUUAAUCUGUUUAACUCCGAUAUUUUUGGAUAAGUGAUUUAUAAAUACAUACGAACUGUAAGUUAUUUAUUUCCGAGAAAUGAACUGUAAAUUCUACUUUCGUUUUUGACUCGAUUAAUACUCUUGUAUUUAACUUUCAUAUUUAAUUCGUACACAUUGUAAAAUAUUGUAUUUUUAUUUCUUUCAGUUUACCAAUCUACUGACUAUUAUGUAAACCUUUCUGGUGGAAUUUAUAAUUACAAUUUCAAACAAGUUGUGUUCGUUAUAUCUUCAUCGAGAUUGCGAUUGCAGUCACCUGGUUAAGCUAGUUGAGUCCGGCUCAGCAUAGAUAGAUAGUCUGCUAAUAAAGUACGAUCCCUCUUGAACAGAUGGAUACAGAUCGCGUAAAGCUUGUGCUUUCCUACUGGUAUCAUUUAAACAAUGAAAACAUAGAUAUUUCAGACAAUGAGCCAUAUCUACAGGAGGUAUAAUCAUACUUGGAUGUUCCACCUCUAGAUGCAGUUCUGCAAGGAUUAAAAAAGAAUGUUGUCGAUAUAAACAUCAUCAAUAUACCAAGGUGAAUUAUACCACAACGUUUACGAGACUUACAAUCAAACGUUUGAGCAUCAUUCUGUAUUCCUGUUUUCGUAUAGGUAAAUUUUCUUAGUAAAAUCUUUUCAGGUGUAUGAAAGCCAUUUUCAUAAUUGGCAAUACUUUAAAUAUACGAAAGAAGUCUCGAUUUGUUCUUUAAAUAUACAUGGUACAAUUAUAUUCAUGUCUUAAUACACUGAACCCACACAAGGCCUACAUUGACUAUCAACUGCAUGUAGAAAAAACAUGAUUCAAACUACAUGUAAACAUUUUAGUUUACGUGUACAUUACGCCAAAACAACACCGAGUUAAUGCCAAUGUGAACACGGCCUUAGUAAUUAAAAUCUAAUUCGAUGAUAAGAAAAACUCCGGUAAUUUGUUUAAUAGGUAGGAAUACAGUCAUUUUGCAUGAAUAAUUAAUUUGAUAAAAAAAAAAGAAGAUGUGGUAUGAUUGCCAAUAAGACAACUCUCCAAACGAGACCAAAAUGACACAGCAAUUUUAAACAAUAACAGGUCACCGAAUGGCCUUCAACAAUGACCAAAGCCCAUAUCGCAUAGUCAGCUUUAAAAGGCCCCGAAAUGACAAUGUAAAACAAUUCAAGAGAGAAAACUAUCUAUGUACAAAAAAAUGAACGAACAACAAAUAUGUAACACAUAAACAAACGAGUGUAGCGGGGUUGCUUCCCCUCCUUAGUACAGGUAGAACAUAUAAAGCUAGUCUUAAUCAACUGACCUAUGGAAUCGUUUCUUUGGCUCAGUGGGUUAACGCACUCACUGCCACGCAGGCGACCUGUGUUCGAAUCCCAGUUGUAACGAAAUAAAUUUGUAGAGUAGAUACAUGCCCUCCGUUUACACGACAACCACUGAAUUACAGCUCUAUUGUGAGUAACAGGGGAUCAUUAGCAUGUUAUCAGGUUAUAUACGAAUCAAAUGAUCGUACGAUAAACAACCGUUAGACGAUUGUGUUUUCUGACAAUAAGUUCAUUAGAGAGUACAUGGCACUACUAAAAAUAGAGGGUUCAAAAUCUACAUAUUAGCUUAUAUUGUACCGAUAAUAAUGUUGCUGACUUGGAAUAAUUCAAGGAUCAAAUACUGAAUAAGCUUAUUUGGUACGAUUUGACUUGAUGUGAAGUGUUGUUGAACUAACGUAUUGACGGAAUAUGGUAUCUCUAAAGUUAAUAUAUUAUUAAUCUUAGUGUUCCAAGUCAAGUUCUUAUCUCUAAACCUUCAUUUUCAAACAUAAUGGUUACAAAUUACUUGGCGUGGUUCCUCUUUAAUACUGUGACAAUCCUGUGUUCUGGCAAAUCUGAAUUUCUCCAAGAUGAUUUAAAAUAUAACGACUUGGAAGAGUUAAAAUGUACGUAUUGUAAAUCACUUGUACCUUUUAUUAUCUUAAAUGUUGCAAUAUUAUUUUUUGUAUUUUGUAUUUGUAUCGUGCUAGUUGACAAGUAAACAAUCCAAAGGAUGACAUGUCACCAUAUUCAGACACAUUAUCCUAGCCGUUAUCAUUCGUUCUUUCUCUAAAUAAUGUUGGGUACUUGGAGGAUGGCAGCAUAUAAAUUUUAGUCUUUGGCUGGACCCUACCAGGGAUUAAACGAAAGUCCUUCUUAUUUUGCGAGAACACUAGAAAGAGAACAACAAUGCGGUACUAGUAUAACUAAAUUGAAGCAUGUAGACCCCAAUCUAAAGCAUGUGCGUACAUUAUUUUACUAUACCCACACAACAGAGGUAAAUAUAAGAAGAUAUGGUAUGAGUGCCAAUGAGACAACUCUCCUUACAAAUCACAAUUUGUAAAUGUAAACCAUUAUACUAGUAGCUCAAAGUAUGGCCUUCAAAAUGAAGCCUUGGUUCACAGCGAACAGUGCCCCAAAAAAGACUAGUGUAAAACCCAGUUCAAACGAGAAAACCAACGGUCUAAGCGAUACCGGUAUACGAAAUAUUUUAUUAAAGAAACCUCAUUUAGGAACAUAAUCAUUAAUAGCAUCGAUACAACAAAGAAUAAUAUUUAAACAAUCUAACUGCAAUUAAUACUACACUAGUAUAUAAAAACGAGAAACGAAAAAUGAGAAGUGCACAUAUAUAACCGACCGUGCAAAACCCUCAUGGAAAGUCAAGGUCGUCGUUAACAACUCCCACUCGUCGUCGUCUCUCUAUUUGAUAAAAUCUUUUAUAAAAAAUGUGCUUUAUAUUUUGUUUAUAGAUAAGAUAAAGAUAAAUUGAUUGUAUCAAAGUGCCAUGUAUAAUUGAUCUUACACACCAGUAAAUAUUUACAAGUACAAUCACAUAAAAAAGAAGAUCGGCAUCCAGUCAUAAAGACUUGUGAGACAUCUUAUUGCUGUAUAUCAAAGUACUUUAAAAUGAUUUAAUUGGUAGUGUGUGCAAGUCGAGUGGUCAUGAUAACUUUUAAUAUCUUUUAUACUAAUGUUUUACAUUUCAAUUACAUACAUAUGCUGUGAAAUUAGAGCAACAUUAAUACUAUAUGUAAUGAUUUGUAAUGAUAUAAUCAAUUUUGACUAAACAUUGAUGAUUUUCCUACACAAUAUAGACAUUAUAAUCGCUCAUAAAAUUGUUUUUAAAUAUUGACUUCGAUACAUUUUUCAGCUGAUAUAAAGUUCCUUAAGAAAGAAUUUGUUCAGAUGAAAAUGGAAAAUAAACAGCUGCAAAAAGAUAACAAACGGUUGAGAGAAAAAAUAACAGACAUCAACCAAACUGUUGAGGAACUUAAGCAUGUUAAAAAGGAAAAAGAUGCAACAGUGUUGAAAAAAUGUGACCCUUCUUUGUCAUCUUCUGGACAUUUCAAGAGACUAUUGUUGCCUGCAGGUGAUUUCGUCGAUAACUUAAAAAGUGUUAAGGAUUAAUUUUACUUGGGUGAAAUUAGAAUUGAUACUUCAAUUUGGAAGAGCAUUAGUUUAGGAACAAAAUAAGCAAAAAAUAUUUAUAGGUUAUAGAGCUCCUUUUUGAGAUAUUUGGAUUUUAAAAAUGACGGGAAAGGUUGAUUCCGACUUUUACUUAUAUAUACAUUGGAAUUAUCGGGGUCUCAAAUCGAAAGAAAAAUUCUAGAAUCUGUUAAAUUUUGGUAAAUGACUUUUUAUAAGCUAUUCAAGACUUAUAUGAAAAGAAAAAUUGGUGUUAUGGGGCAAAAUAUUUUACCCUGUUUUCAAGGGGAAAAAACAAGGAGUACGAACAUCUGACACAAAUUCCCAAACCUCACCUAAGUACAUCCUUUAGGAACUUCGUAUUUUAUUUCCCCUGUGGCAGUUUUGCUCUCUUUGAAAGAUUAUGUAUGCGUAUACUAGUAUUAUAUAUGUGUUUGUAUUUCUUCGAUACUCGUUUUACCUUGCGCUAACACUAUAAAUUUACUGUUUCUGAUUCGUAUCUAGACUACAACAAUAACGACAUGUUACUGGACAAAAUCCUUAUAUUGCUGUUUUUUUUUUUUUUUUUUAUUUAUUUCUUAUUGCUUAUGAAUUUGCUUAUAACCUAACGCUAGUGUGUGGUCAAUUAUGAUAAGAAGCCGCAAAUUCUAAUUUUAGAGUCUUUGUUGCACGGUUGUAAACUGAUCAAACACUACAUACGACCAACCGCACUCAAGGACUAGAGCACUACUACGAGGCCAUAUAUACAAUGUAUGUGUUAUGAAUUUAAAUUCAAAUCUGAACAUUCCUAAUCACAGGCUCUUUCGGGCAUUACAAAAUUUGACACGAUCGUUCAAACUAUCAUACCUACCUAUUUUACUCCGCUCUCUCUCUUUGAUUAUAUGCAUAGAGAGAUCAAUUAAUAAAAUGUUGUAUAAUAAUCUGCACAAUUUUAGAACUCUAUAGUCUAUGAGUCAGAUAUAAAUGCAAUUAUGUCAAUACAUCUUUUACAGCUACUAAUUCGCCUGAACAGCAAACAAAGGUAGCAUUUACAGCAGCUUUAACACAUGAAACCAGCCUUGGAGAACUUCAACCUGUUGAAUACGACAAAGUCAUCUCAAAUAUAGGAAACGCUUUUGAUGCUCGUCAUGGUCAUUUUACAGCACCAGUUAAAGGCGUAUAUAUUCUGUCAGGUUCCAUUUUUAACGAGAAAGGUCAUACAAUGCAUAUGGAAAUGGUGAAAAACGGAGUUCAACUUGUCGCUUUCUAUGCAGAUCCAGAUGUUUAUUCCAUGGGAAGUCAAACUAUUGUUAUUGCCCUAGAAGCAAACGAUAUGGUCUGGAUAAGACAUUUUUUAACUACUGGAUCUGCUUCAAUAUAUGGCAGACCUAAACAACCAAUUAACACUUUCUCUGGUGCAUUACUUUUUCAACUUUGAAAACCUUUCAGCAAACUUAACUUGUUUAAACUAUAACUGUAGAACAUUGUUACUUUUGAAGCCUAUUUUUUCAAGAUAAGUUUAACUUGUAAUUCAAUAUGAAUA